AUUUUCACCACAAGGCAGUGAGGGGGUUGAUGCUUACAACAUCUGUGGCUAAAUCCUUGGGCUUGGAUUGAAAUGAACUUCUGGUUGCUCUUCAUUUAUGGCCUCUCUCUCUCAAACAACUUUUUUUGAACUUGAAGUUUGACCACCAAGACUCCUCUGCCAUGUACUCCUCUGUAUGCAGUCUUUCCUGAUAUCUAGAGCUUUCUCAUCUUGCAGAACAGAAAUUCUGUAUCCAUUGAACAAUUCCUUUUGCACCAGCCUGGUGCCUGGACAUCCCAAGGGACCAGGAAACUGAUGUGAAGCACGGCUCCUCUCUGUCAAGGCCUGAGCGAUUUUCCCACUUCUAAUCUUUCUUCU